UACUCUGUUACUGUCACAAUCUCAGCCAAUCUCCAGACUGAAUUAGAGCCUCCCAUCCAGGCAUGCCUCAUUAGGCUCUUAAAUUUCCAUAAGAGAAUGCUAACUCUGUCUCCAUCUAUACUUGAGUCUGUCUUUAAUUAUAUGCAGUAUUUACACUGCUGGAUUUUACCUGACUAAAUUAUCAACAGCUUACUAGCAAGAAGUUGUUUGUUUGUUUGUUUGUUUGUAUUAAAGAAAGGUUGGUAGUAGAAAUUGCUGGCCACCAGGUCCUCUACUCAGAGUUUUAUGCUUGGGUUAGUUCCACCCACCAACAGCUAUAAAACUGUUCUUCAUUGUUCUUCAUUUUGUAGAACUGCUUUGGACUGUCUGGCAUUAUGAGAGAGAUCUUAUAAAAUACAUAGCUAUGAGAGAUAAGGUCACAUUUAACUUGUUAGCAAAGAUUAAGUUAUAGAUUAUAUCACAUCAUCUUUUUUUUUUUUAUAAGUCCUAUAAGAGAUACUUCAAUUCAGUAUCUGAAAUGUUUAUGUUCCCACUGAACAGCUAGUUGGAUUUUUUGUUUUAUAUACUCUGGCAAUUUUGCAAUUGUAUGACUAAAGCUUUUUCUUUGCCCACAAGGGUCAAAGCUGAACCAGCAGCCCCUGUUUAAUGACGUACAACACUUUAUGGUAUCAUUUUGUAUAUUCACCUCAUCCCUGGAGUAUCAGUUUGUUUACAUUGCUGUGUGUGACCAAAAAACCCAAAUAGGAGAUUCUUUUUCCUAAUAUCCUAAAGUCGGGAAGUUUGUGGUUGCUAGUGCUUCUUUUAUAGCUCAAGGAAUUCAGGGUCAAGAUCUCUGGUAUUUCCGUCAUGGUCUCAAGAUGACUGUUCCAGCUGCAGGCAUCAUGCCUUUGUUUACAAAAGGAAGGAGGGAAGGACUAAAAGAAGAAUGGUUGUGCCAGAUAACAGGUGUUCCUGACAUCUAUUAUUUCACAUCAAACCUCCUCAGAACUGAAGACAAUUUGUUAUCAUCACGUAUGCCUCUGUGUAUUGACUAGGUUCAACUGUCCUUACUUGGAUCUUUCAUACUACAGUCAGACUGUGAUUGGUGCUGGAGGUAACUGAAGGCAUAACUGGGCUGGAGGUCCAGGGUGACUCACUCAGGUGGCUGACUUGAUGCUGGCUGUGGGCUGGGGGCUCAACAAAUGCUUACAUAUGGCCUUGGCUUCUCAUAGUCUGGCAGCUGGGUUCUGAGAAGCAACAUCCCAAGAGUGAGUGUUAAAAAUGAAAGCAGCAAGGGUUUUUCUGACCUGACCUCAGAAGUUUUUAAAUAUUGCUUCUAUCAUAUUCUGUUGGUCAGGAAAAUAAUGAAGAUGUACUCGGAUUCAAGGGAAGGAAAUUACAGUCUACCACGUCAUGUGAGAAACAGCAUUUGUGGGCAUGGAGAUAAGGAGUCAGCGGUGGCCAUUUUUGAAGACUGUCUACUAUGGUCUGCUCUCUGGCUACCAGUAUUCAUAUCCAUUCCACCUGAAAAACAGACUGACUCUUUUCUAACAGCCCCCAAAUUGAAUUCCAUUAUGGGAUUGAUUUAAAGUGUAGGAUUCAUCAUUUAAAUCGUGUUCAAGGGACAUUGAGGGCCCAGUUUCUCAGAUGCAUUUUCUCAGUCAUGAUUUCUCUCUAAUGGAAGCUCUUUGAAUUAAAGUGACACAUUUCAGCUCAAUAAACUCAGUAAGUUAUCUGCUCAAACUACUCAAUAUACUGGUGCUACAAGGGUAUGACACUUGCAAAAGAAACAACUUCAAUUUUAAAAAAGAGGUGGGAUCUGACAGGAGACAUACAGCAGUGACUCAUCCACCCAAAAUCUGCAGUCUAGCUGAGCACUUGACUGGGACUAAGUCCUGCUUCUUAAGAAUGUGUCUCUAUGCUCCUUGGGUCUGCCCUCUGGAUUUCUGGUUCUGCUCUCUAACUUUCCUUUUCAUUUGGAACUGGCCUAUAUUUGCUGCUGAGUAGCUUUCUUAGCCCACUUUCUGCCUUUAGAAAGUUGGAAUCCCCAAGGACUCUCUUAUUUUGAAUAUCCUCUAUUCCUUUUAGUCAAGUUUUAUUGGGGUUCAUGGCAUUAGACAAAAGCCAUCCCCCUCAAUUUCUCUCUCUACUCUGGGCUGAAAGUCUUAAUGGUGUGGAAUUAUAUCUUUAAGAUUCUUGGGAGCCCUAUUUUCUAGUUAACAAAGUCUGUGAGCCACUGAUUUCACAAAAGCCUUUUUGUCUUGUUUGCGGCCUUAACAGAAAUAUUUCUGAGGUUUCAGUAAAGGUUGCUCUAAACACACUGUUUGACUGAACUUUAUCCUCCUGUUAUGUGUUAUUGAAAAUAUUUUAAGUUUUGCCCUGAGGCCAUUUCUGAUUUUCUGCCUGCGAAGACUGGAUGUGAUAAACAGUUCUAUUUUUGAGUCCGUUAAAUCCUAACUAUUUUCUUUUCCCUCAAAAUUCUUCUAUAAAACACUGAAAGUUGUCUUUUUUAGCUCAUUCUUUCUCUGUUUGUAUUUUAUCCUAUGUGUCUAACAGAAAUGAAUAGGCAUUUUCAACAUCCUGACCGGAAAUCUCCUUAGACUGAUACAUUAAUUCAUUAGUAGCAUUUUCUAUUUUCUACAUUACUGUAGCGUUUUGUCACUAAACUCUCUGCCACUAAAAGGUUUCAAAUGGCAUAGUUUCAAAACCUCCUGACUCUCACUUCUGCUAUAUCGUAUCAGACAAAUCAAUCAGUAAGGAGAUCCCAGAUUCAUGAAAAGAGGAAUUAGGCUUCACCUCUUGAUAUGUGAAGGAAGAAGCAUGUAAAGAAAAGGAAGGAGGACUUUCCAUCGUGGCUCAGCAGGUUCAGAACCCAACAGAGUUUCUGUGAGGAUGCUGGUUUGUUCUAUCCCUGGCCUCACUCAGUGGCUUAAGGAUCUGGUGUUGCCAUGAACUGUGGUGUUGGUUGCAGAUGCGGCUCGGAUCUGGUCUUGCUGUGGCUGUGGUGUAGGUUGGCAGCUACAGCUCCAAUUCGAUCCCUAGCCUGGGAACUUCCAUAUGCCAAAAGUGUAAAAAGUGGGGAGGGGGGGGAGAAAAGGAAAGAAGGAUGGAAGAAAGAAUGAAAAGGAAGCAAUUUAUAAUAUGACGGCCAUCUUUGGAGAUUAUCUGCCUCAUCAGAAAAGUAAAAUUUCCUAGAUAUACUUCGCAUGCUUUAUCUUUUCUCAUUGGUUAGAACUGUUUCAGUGUUUGGUAAGGGAAUAACAAGGAGACUAGGUUUUUUUCUGGGUUCACUGCC
rnacentral:lncRNA from 1 species